rnacentral:tRNA from 1 species
GCCCGGGUGGCUCAGUUGGUUGAGCGUCCGACUUCGGCUCAGGUCAUGAUCUCGCGGUUCGUGGGUUGCAACCCCGCGUCGGGCU